rnacentral:rRNA from 1 species
UACGGAGGGGGGCUAGCGUUGUUCGGAAUUACUGGGCGUAAAGCGCACGUAGGCGGCUUUGUAAGUUAGAGGUGAAAGCCCGGGGCUCAACUCCGGAAUUGCCUUUAAGACUGCAUCGCUAGAAUUGUGGAGAGGUAAGUGGAAUUCCGAGUGUAGAGGUGAAAUUCGUAGAUAUUCGGAAGAACACCAGUGGCGAAGGCGACUUACU